ACUGCUCUGCCGGGGAAGGAGGAGGAGAGCAGAUGAGGAGUGAGCUGCCCUGUCUGGAGAGGGGACAGGGCAGGGCCUCAGCAAGCUCCACUGGUGAUCUCGCGUCCCAUUUAAUGGAUUCUGACAUGGAUUAUGAAAGGCCAAACGUAGAGACCAUCAAGUGCGUUGUGGUGGGGGACAACGCCGUGGGCAAGACCAGGCUCAUCUGUGCCCGUGCUUGCAAUGCCACCCUCACCCAGUACCAGCUGCUGGCCACGCAUGUGCCCACAGUGUGGGCCAUCGACCAAUAUCGUGUGUGCCAGGAGGUGCUGGAACGCUCCCGAGACGUGGUAGAUGAUGUCAGCGUCUCUCUGCGCCUCUGGGACACCUUUGGAGACCACCACAAAGACCGUCGCUUUGCUUAUGGGAGAUCUGAUGUGGUGGUUCUGUGCUUCUCCAUUGCCAACCCCAAUUCCCUCCACCAUGUCAAGACCAUGUGGUACCCAGAAAUCAAACACUUCUGCCCCCGAGCACCUGUCAUCUUGGUGGGCUGCCAGUUGGACCUGCGCUACGCUGACCUGGAGGCUGUCAACAGGGCUA
rnacentral:sRNA from 1 species